UUAAUUCCUAGUCUGAAAUAAUACCCAGCGGUAUUAUUAUCUUUCCCCUUUGAAUUUCUUACACAAUAGCUGCAUCUUAAAAAGAAUUUCUACUUUUUUAAUUUUUGAACUUCAGAAGGGAGCGCGGCAUCUCGGAAGUAAGAAGAACCCUGUGCAUCUCCAUUGGCUUGGAGGAAAGAAAACAGCUCUUUGACAAGUGCACUUACACAGAUGGCGUGACUGUGCCAGCAAAAAGUGAAUUCUCUGAGAGGGCAGGUGGGAGCUGUUACAGCCAAUUCUCAAGGUCACCCUGGAGUGUGUGGAGCUGCCCCACAUGAGCCGCCAAGAGCACAUACUACUGCAAGGGAAACGUAGCAUCAAGAGGCUGCUAUAGUUUGAGCCCUGCGUAUAUCAUGCGUUAGAACUCCACCCCCCUAUGCAAUAGUGUUGGAAAGUUGGACCCAAUAGGAGGAGUUCCCAGCACUCCAAGAGGAGAGACCUGAUGGAGAUCUCUCUCUCCACCUACUGUUUGGCUGUGGGUAUCUGCUGCAUCUGCUCCCAUCAGCUGCCGGAAGGAAGCCUCUCUGAUGAUGGAACCUGUCCUGCUAUCUUCUGUAACCAGGCAACUUCCAGGGUGGGACUGGGACACCAACCCAGCCACAAAACCUGAGCUGGGGUCAUGGAAGUGCAGAACUUGUGAGAGUGGCCAACCAAUGACUGGUCUAAUUUGAAGCCCAUGCCAUGAAAGGGAGCUCAUGUCGAACACUGCCCAAAUGACCAGGAGCUAAAUAAUCCAGAGACUU